AUUGAACGCUGGCGGCAUGCUUUACACAUGCAAGUCGAACGGUAACAGGCCUUCGGGUGCUGACGAGUGGCGAACGGGUGAGUAAUGCAUCGGAACGUACCCAGAGGUGGGGGAUAACGCAGCGAAAGCUGUGCUAAUACCGCAUGUGAUCUGAGGAUGAAAGCGGGGGACCGAGCAGCAAUGUUUGGCCUCGCGCCUUUGGAGCGGCCGAUGUCGGAUUAGCUAGUUGGUGGGGUAAAGGCCUACCAAGGCGACGAUCCGUAGCUGGUCUGAGAGGACGACCGGCCACACUGGGACUGAGACACGGCCCAGACUCCUACGGGAGGCAGCAGUGGGGAAUUUUGGACAAUGGGCGCAAGCCUGAUCCAGCAAGGCCGCGUGCGGGAAGAAGGCCUUCGGGUUGUAAACCGCUUUUGGCAGGAACGAAACGGUGUCCGCUAAUACCGGGCGCUAAUGACGGUACCUGCAGAAUAAGCACCGGCUAACUACGUG
rnacentral:rRNA from 1 species